AUUGAACGCUGGCGGCAGGCCUAACACAUGCAAGUCGAACGAGUGGCGGACGGGUGAGUAAUGUCUGGGAAACUGCCUGAUGGCGGGGGAUAGCUAAUGGAAACGGUAGCUAAUACCGCAUACCAUCGGAUGUUCCCAGAUGGGAUUAGCUAGUAGGUGGGGUAAAGGCUCACCUAGGCGACGAUCCCUAGCUGGUCUGAGAGGAUGUCCAGCCAACCGGGAACUGAGACACGGUCCAGACUCCUACGGGAGGCAGCAGUGGGGAAUAUUGCACAAUGGGCGCAAGCCUGAUGCAGCAAGGCCGCGUGUAGGAAGAAGGCCUUCGGGUGGUAAAGUACUUUCAGCGGGGAGGCGUUACCCGCAGAAGAAGCACCGGCUAACUCCGUGCCAGCAGCCGCGGUAAUUC
rnacentral:rRNA from 1 species